rnacentral:rRNA from 1 species
GAUGAACGCUAGCUACAGGCUUAACACAUGCAAGUCGAGGGGAAACGGCAUUGAGUGCUUGCACUCUUUGGACGUCGACCGGCGCACGGGUGAGUAACGCGUAUCCAACCUUCCCAUUACUGUGGGAUAACCUGCCGAAAGGCAGACUAAUACCGCAUAGUCUUCGAUGACGGCAUCAGAUUUGAAGUAAAGAUUUAUCGGUAAUGGAUGGGGAUGCGUCUGAUUAGCUUGUUGGCGGGGUAACGGCCCACCAAGGCUACGAUCAGUAGGGGUUCUGAGAAGAAGGUCCCCCACAUUGGAACUGAGACACGGUCCAAACUCCUACGGGAGGCAGCAGUGAGGAAUAUUGGUCGAUGGACGGAAGUCUGAACCAGCCAAGUAGCGUGCAGGAUGACGGCCCUAUGGGUUGUAAACUGCUUUUGUAUGGGGAUAAAGUUAGGGACGGGUCCCUAUUUGCAGGUACCAUACGAAUAAGGACCGGCUAAUUCCGUG